UACGUAGGGGGCAAGCGUUGUCCGGAAUCAUUGGGCGUAAAGAGCGUGUAGGCGGCCCGAUAAGUCCGCUGUGAAAGUCCAGGGCUCAACCCUGGGAUGCCGGUGGAUACUGUCGGGCUCGAGUCCGGAAGAGGAGUGUGGAAUUCCUGGUGUAGCGGUGAAAUGCGCAGAUAUCAGGAGGAACACCAAUGGCGAAGGCAGCACUCUGGGACGUGACUGACGCUGAGGCGCGAAAGCGUGGGGAGCGAACAGG
rnacentral:rRNA from 1 species